UGGAGAGGUUUCUUGGUAGGAGUCACAACUCAGGGCUUGAAAACAACUGGCUACUUGUCACCACCAUACCAUCAAAUGGCCCCACAGCCCCCCACAGACAGAAUGAGGGCAGAACCGGCUGUCACUGGGAGUUGACACAGUUGCCAGAGUUAAGGAUGAUCCCUAAACUUCUGAAAGUUGAGUGACUUAAGACCACGCCGCCAUCAUCGCCACCCAAGACAAGCUGGACGUGAACACCAGGAACCCGCGCUCCCGGGACCUGUCCCUGUGACCCGCGCCACUGGCGGCAUCCACCCCGCACUCACCCACCGCGGUGAUGCGGAAACCUCGGGGCGGCCUCAGAGCUCGGCGACGCCACGCAUCCCGCAGCACCUGCACGCAGGGCUGGGGCGCGCGCACCAGCAGCACCCCGCGCCGCAGCCAGCCGAGAAAGGCCAGCCGCGAGGCGGCGCGCGCCAGCCGUGCGUUCCAGAAGCAGCGCGCGUUGGCGCGGCGGAAGGCGCGGAAGAGCGCGCGGCCGCCCGGCUCCCCGGCCGCCUGCCCGGCCUCCCGCGGGCUCAGCACCAGCGCCAGCGAGCCCGGCGCCAGCUGCACCGGCCGUGCCAUACCGCCCGCCCGAGGGACUCGCGCUUAGUGUGCCCAACUCUGCUGUCCCGGGAGCCCGGUGCAGGGGUGGGGCGGGGCCAGGGCGGGGCUUCCCAGAGCGUCCCUGUCACUCCGGGUUACCCCAGCAACCAGAAAAGCCGGUGGCAUCGCCCAAGGGUAAGACCCGGAGGACCCAGGUCGCCCUUGGGAGGUGACCCAGGUUUGAACCUCUGCUCCGUCCCUGACAUAUCAGGCCAGUUCUCUGGCGUCUCUGGUCUUGGACCUGGCCAGACUCCUCAUCUCGCAGCAGAGGACUCUGAGGACCUUCUCAGCCUUGGUUUUCUGAAGUUCUAGGGCCCCUCCCCUAGUGUAUCCCAUUCUUUUGAGAAUUUUGAGGAAAGCAGGGUUAGCGAGCAAGAGGCGGUAGCUAAACCUUGGGACCCCACCCUGAUAAGGAUCUGGGUUCUGACUCUGCAUUCGAUCACGCCCCAGGAGCCCCAAAGGAAAGACUGAGAUCUGCCCCUGCAGACUGUAGCCGGCGGCGGUGGCGGCGUCUCAGAGCGAUAAGAACAAACACGCUGGGCCUAAACAAACUUAAACAGGAAUUAAGUCCCUGGGUCUCUGAGGAUAAAGAUCUAUUGAAAUAGGCAACAUUGGAAAAGGACAGGAUAGGCGUUGGAUUUUCUAUGAACUCGGUACUAUGAAGAGGAACUUUGGCAAGAACGAGGCUCAUUUCAGACUUCCCAUUCCCUCAUCAAUCAUCCACAAUAUCCAUAUAAUAAUCGGGGGUGGGCACAGAGAGAGACAGAGGCUCCCUAUGUCCCCAAGGCUGGCCUCAAACUCAUGAUCCACUUGUUUAUUUUUAACUACACUGACGUUAUAAUUACCAUGCGAUAACCCAUACCUCUGUCCAUAGUGAGCACACCAUCAAGCACAACUGCUAUUAAUAAUAGCCCAAUCUCACAAGUCUGUUAACUACUGCAGAUACCUCUAGUUCUAAAAUGCCAGAUGUUCUAAGACCUGAUCUUUUUUCUUUUUAAAAAGAACUUGGGGCUGGGGAUUUAGCUCAGUGGUAGAGCGCUUACCUAGGAAGCACAAGGCCCUGGGUUCGGUCCCCAGCUCCGAAAAAAAAAAAAGAAAAAAGAAAAAAAAAAUAAAAAGAACUAACGGGUGCUCACUUCGGCAGCACAUAUACUAAAAUUGGAACGAUACAGAGAAGAUUAGCAUGGCCCUUGCGCAAGGAUGACACGCAAAUUCGUGAAGCGUUCCAUAUUUUUGAACCGGAUGUAGAUCUCUCCUGAGAGACAUAGCAAGAAUACAGCAAAUACAUAGGCGAAUGCCAGCAGCAAACCACUGAACUGAGAACAGGACCCCCGUUGAAGACAUCAGAGAAAGGACUGGAAGAGCUUGAAGGGGCUCGAGACCCCAUAUGUACAACAAUGCCAACCAACCAGAGCUUCUAGGGACUAAGCCACUACCCAAAGGCUAUACAUGGACUGACCCUGGACUCUGACCUCAUAGGUAGCAAUGAAUAUCC